rnacentral:tRNA from 1 species
GUAGCUCAGAGGUUAAGAGCACUGGCUGCUCUUCCAGAGGUCCUGAGUUCAAUUCUCAGUACA